AUUGAACGCUGGCGGCAUGCCUUACACAUGCAAGUCGAACGGCAGCAUGAUCUAGCUUGCUAGAUUGAUGGCGAGUGGCGAACGGGUGAGUAAUACAUCGGAACGUGCCCUGUAGUGGGGGAUAACUAGUCGAAAGAUUAGCUAAUACCGCAUACGACCUGAGGGUGAAAGUGGGGGACCGCAAGGCCUCAUGCUAUAGGAGCGGCCGAUGUCUGAUUAGCUAGUUGGUGAGGUAAAGGCUCACCAAGGCGACGAUCAGUUGCUGGUCUGAGAGGACGGUCAGCCACACUGGAACUGAGCCACGGCCAAGACUCCUACGGGAGGCAGCAGUGGGGAAUUUUGGGCAAUGGGCGAAAGCCUGAUCCAGCAAUGCCGCGUGUGUGAAGAAGGCCUUCGGGUUGUAAAGCACUUUUGUCCGGAAAGAAAUGGCUCUGGUUAAUACCUGGGGUCGAUGACGGUACCGGAAGAAUAAGGACCGGCUAACUACGUG
rnacentral:rRNA from 1 species